UACGGGGGGGGCAAGCGUUGUUCGGAAUUACUGGGCGUAAAGGGCCAGUAGGCGGCCAACUAAGUCGGAUGUGAAAUCCCCAGGCUUAACCUGGGAACUGCAUCCGAUACUGGAUGGCUUGAAUUCGGGAGAGGGAUGCAGAAUUCCAGGUGUAGCGGUGAAAUGCGUAGAUAUCGGGAGGAACACCUGUGGCGAAAGCGGCGCACUGGACCACAACUGACGCUGAGGCGCGAAAGCUAGGGGAGCAAACAGG
rnacentral:rRNA from 1 species